GGACGAACGCUGGCGGCGUGCCUAAUACAUGCAAGUCGAACGGUCUUUCAUGGAAGCUUGCUUCCACUGAGAAGAUAGUGGCGAACGGGUGAGUAACACGUGGGUAACCUGCCCAUAAGAGGGGGAUAACAUCCGGAAACGGGUGCUAAUACCGCAUAGUUUUCUUGAUCACAUGAUUGAGAAAGGAAAGACGGCCUUUGUGCUGUCGCUUAUGGAUGGACCCGCGGCGUAUUAGUUAGUUGGUGAGGUAACGGCUCACCAAGACGAUGAUACGUAGCCGACCUGAGAGGGUGAUCGGCCACAUUGGGACUGAGACACGGCCCAAACUCCUACGGGAGGCAGCAGUAGGGAAUCUUCCGCAAUGGACGAAAGUCUGACGGAGCAACGCCGCGUGAGUGAAGAAAAGGUUUUCGGAUCGUAAAACUCUGUUGUCAGAGAAGAACAAGUUGGAGAGUAACUGCUCCAGCCUUGACGGUAUCUGACCAGAAAGCCACGGCUAACUACGUGCCAGCCGCCGC
rnacentral:rRNA from 1 species